AGGAGCAUGUGGUUAAUUCGAUGAUACGCGAGGAACUUACCUGGGCUCGAACGUAAGAUGACUGUAGGUGAAAGCUUACAUCUCUUCGGAGCAUUUUACGAGGUGCUGCAUGGUUGUCGUCAGCUCGUGCCGUGAGGUGUCGGGUUAAGGUCCCAUAACGAGCGCAACCCCUACCUUUAGUUGCCAUCAGGUUAAGCUGGGGACUCUAAAGGAACUGCCUACGCAAGUAGUGAGGAAUGCGGGGAUGACGUCAAAUCAGCACGGCCCUUACGUCCAGGGCUACACACGUGCUACAAUGGCCGAUACAGAGGGCAGCUACCUGGUGACAGGAUGCAAAUCUCCAAAGUCGGUCUCAGUUCGGAUCGGAGUCUGCAACCCGACUCCGUGAAGUUGGAUUCGCUAGUAAUCGCGCAUCAGCCAUGGCGCGGUGAAUACGUUCCCGGGCCUU
rnacentral:rRNA from 1 species